CCUGCCCUCCACUUCGGGAUAAGCCUUGGAAACGGGGUCUAAUACCGGAUAUGAGCGCCUGCCGCAUGGUGGGUGUUGGAAAGUUUUUCGGUGGGGGAUGGGCUCGCGGCCUAUCAGCUUGUUGGUGGGGUGAUGGCCUACCAAGGCUUCGACGGGUAGCCGGCCUGAGAGGGCGACCGGCCACACUGGGACUGAGACACGGCCCAAACUCCUACGGGAGGCAGCAGUGGGGAAUAUUGCACAAUGGGCGAAAGCCUGAUGCAGCGACGCCGCGUGAGGGAUGACGGCCUUCGGGUUGUAAACCUCUUUCAGCAGGGAAGAAGCGUAAGUGACGGUACCUGCAGAAGAAGCGCCGGCUAACUACGUGCCAGCAGCCGCGGUAAUACGUAGGGCGCAAGCGUUGUCCGGAAUUAUUGGGCGUAAAGAGCUCGUAGGCGGUCUGUCGCGUCUGGUGUGAAAUCCCGAGGCUCAACCUCGGGCUUGCAUCGGGUACGGGCAGACUAGAGUGCGGUAGGGGAGACUGGAAUUCCUGGUGUAACGGUGGAAUGCGCAGAUAUCAUGAGGAACACCGAUGGCGAAGGCAUGUCUCUGGGCCGCAACUGACGCUGAGGAGCGAAAGCAUGGGGAGCGAACAGGAUUAGAUACCCUGGUAGUCCAUGCCGUAAACGUUGGGCACUAGGUGUGGGGCUCAUUCCACGAGUUCCGAUGCCUCAGCUAACGCAUUAAGCGCCCCCGCCCUGGGGAGUACGGCCGCAAAGGCUACUACUCCCAGGGAAGUAACGAGGGGGCCCCGCACAAGCGGCGGGAGCAUGCGGGAUUAAUCUCGAUGCAACCGCGAAAAAACUUGUACCAAUGCUUGACAUGCACCCGGAAAACCGCCAAAGAGUGCUGGGACCCCUCCUACGGUCGGCUUGCACGAGNGGGUGGCAUGGUCUGCUCGUCCAGCCUCAGNGGAU
rnacentral:rRNA from 1 species